GAUGCUGUUGUGUGGUGGUUAUCACGUCAGUCUUACACACUGAACUUCCCCAGUUCGAUCCCGGGCAGCAUUA
rnacentral:tRNA from 1 species